rnacentral:rRNA from 1 species
UGGGGAAUUUUGGACAAUGGGCGAAAGCCUGAUCCAGCAAUGCCGCGUGUGUGAAGAAGGCCUUCGGGUUGUAAAGCACUUUUGUCCGGAAAGAAAUGGCUCUGGUUAAUACCUGGGGUCGAUGACGGUACCGGAAGAAUAAGGACCGGCUAACUACGUGCCAGCAGCCGCGGUAAUACGUAGGGUCCAAGCGUUAAUCGGAAUUACUGGCCGUAAAGCGUGCGCAGGCGGUUGUGCAAGACCGAUGUGAAAUCCCCGAGCUUAACUUGGGAAUUGCAUUGGUGACUGCACGGCUAGAGUGUGUCAGAGGGGGGUAGAAUUCCACGUGUAGCAGUGAAAUGCGUAGAGAUGUGGAGGAAUACCGAUGGCGAAGGCAGCCCCCUGGGAUAACACUGACGCUCAUGCACGAAAGCGUGGGGAGCAAACAGG